rnacentral:rRNA from 1 species
UACGGGGGGGGCAAGCGUUGUUCGGAAUUACUGGGCGUAAAGGGCGCGUAGGCGGUUGGAUAAGUCAGCUGUGAAAACCACGGGCUUAACUCGUGGCCUGCAGUUGAGACUGUCUGGCUUGAGUGUGGGAGAGGAGAGUGGAAUUCCUGGUGUAGCGGUGAAAUGCGUAGAGAUCGGAAAGAACACCAACGGCGAAAGCACUCUGCUGGGCCGACACUGACACUGAAAAGCGAAAGCCAGGGGAGCAAACGGG